GCCAAAAAGCUUGUUCAGGUU
rnacentral:miRNA from 1 species